rnacentral:rRNA from 1 species
GACGAACGCUGGCGGCGUGCUUAACACAUGCAAGUCGAACGAAGUGGCGAACGGGUGAGUAAUACGUGAGUAACCUGCCCUCCUUUUUGGGAUAAGCAUUGGAAACGGGGUCUAAUACCGAAUAAAGGGGGAUGGGCUCGGGUGCUAUCAGGUUGUUGGUGGGGUUAUGGCCUACCAAGGCGGUGACGGGUAGCAGGCCUGAGAGGGUGACCUGCCGACUUGGGACGGGGCUACGGCCCAGACGCAUACGGGAGGCAGGAAUCGGGGAUAAUGGACGAAAGGCGAAAGCCUGAAGCAGCGGCGCGGCAUGGGGGUUGUAGGCUUUCAGAUUGUGAACCUCUGUCGCUAACGAACCGGUAGGUGGAGAAGAAGCGCCGGCUAACUACGUGCCAGCAGCCGCGGUAAUAC